rnacentral:tRNA from 1 species
GGGCCAGUGGCAGAGUGGUCUAUUGCAGCGGUUUGUAGCACCGCAGGUAUAAUACCUUCAUAGGUUCAAAUCCUAUCUGGCUCA